rnacentral:rRNA from 1 species
CAUCCAGAGAUGGGUGCCCCCUUGUGGUCGGUGUACAGGUGGUGCAUGGCUGUCGUCAGCUCGUGUCGUGAGAUGUUGGGUUAAGUCCCGCAACGAGCGCAACCCUUGUUCUGUGUUGCCAGCAUGCCCUUCGGGGUGAUGGGGACUCACAGGAGACUGCCGGGGUCAACUCGGAGGAAGAGUGGGGACGACGUCAAGUCAUCAUGCCCCUUAUGUCU